AUUGCACAAUGGGGGAAACCCUGAUGCAGCGACGCCGCGUGAGUGAAGAAGUAUUUCGGUAUGUAAAGCUCUAUCAGCAGGGAAGAUAAUGACGGUACCUGACUAAGAAGCCACGGCUAACUACGUGCCAGCAGCCGCGGUAAUACGUAGGUGGCAAGCGUUGUCCGGAUUUACUGGGCGUAAAGGAUGCGUAGGCGGAUACUUAAGUCAGAUGUGAAAAUCCCGGGCUUAACUUGGGAACUGCAUUUGAAACUGGGUAUCUAGACUGCGGGAGAGGAAAGUGGAAUUCCUAGUGUAACGGUGAAAUGCGUAGAGAUGAGGAAGAACACCAGUGGCGAAGGCGACUUUCUGGACCGUAACUGACGCUGAGGCAUGAAAGCGUGGGGAGCAAACA
rnacentral:rRNA from 1 species